rnacentral:lncRNA from 1 species
CUCGGUGCAUGAUGGUUACUUGUUCCAUCCCCCACACCCCUCUGGUAGCAGCAAAGCAGAGUUCAAGUGGGUGGCCAGUCCGCUACUGUGGUAUUGCCGUUUGAUACAAUAAUCUCACGAUAGGAACUGCGGCUCGUAAAAAGAGGCUCUUGGUCUUGUAACCCAUCAUUUAAUUCCUAUCUAUUACUAAUAAGCCAUGUUCACAUAGCAGAUGAUGAUCCAUGCUUCAUGCUAAUCGAUGAAGGAAAGCAGAGGACCAAAGGGUACAUCAUCUAGUUGGAUCCAACUUUAUCUAAUAACAAAUGUUUUUAUAAGCAAAUGUUCAGCGAGAAGCCUUUUCUCCAUUGAGAUUCUACGGCAGUUGAAGGUCUAUAUU